GUGAGAUAAGUUAUCCACUCUUUUGGUUUAAACAGUAGUCAACGCUUAGUACUUUUCCCUUAUUUUUCGAUCUAUAGGUAGACUUUCUUCGUCUUGGGCUUUUUACCGAUAUUUCAUACCCAUCUAUCUGACAAUGUACCCCUAUUUUCAUUGGAUCUGUCUUGAAGAAACCGAUGAAAUUCAACGCUAUGAAACGACGUUCCCAUCGUGAAAGGUUGAUGAAUAAGGGGUGCACAUGCAGUACAUCUGACGAGAUGUUCAACCCUCUGGGAACGCAAAUCCAUCAAAGGUAAUGUAUCAGUGAAUAGAACAGAUACAUAUUCAAGAAAGAUUGACGAGGAACGUAUGAUUCAAAUAAUAUUUAUUUAAUUUAUUUUUUAAUGAAAUGCUAAAUGUAAUGUAUGUAUGAAUGAUUGAAUGAUUGAAACUGAAAAUAUUAUCAAUGAGGAUACUUAUAACUUUGUAUGCGAUACAAAGUUAUGAUUUUAAAGAAUAAAAUGUGUUUAUGUAAAGACAAUUGAAAGAAUAUUCUUUUCAAUUGAAUAUGUCAAAAAGAAGGAAGCAUCGAUGCAUAGAUGAGACAUUUUACCGAAUGGUUGCUGAAUAUCUAACUUAUAUAAUGUGUUAGAGCUUUUAAGAUAUUGGAUACCUGAUUGACAUCGAGUCAUAAAGUAAUUCGAUUGGAUGACUUUCAAAUUAUUUGAGCAACUUAGUCGGAUAGCUUUCAUAAUGCACGUAUUAUUACGUCAAUCUUCAGUGAAUGUAACUAAUAAAACUAUUAAAUAUUCCGAAACCGGUAGAUAAUAUUAAGAGACGAAUGAUUCAUUCAAUUUUAAUUUCUCCAUGAUCUAAGUUUUACCAUUCGAUCAUUCAUUUUUUAAUAAUUCUGACGACAUAAAGUAAGAUUUAAUAUUGCGUUUUAAAAAUCGCAAAAAAAAAUUGAAAAUAGAAAUUUUUCUUAAUUGCUAUUUUCAUUUCUAGUUAACUAUCUGCCGAUUUUCUAAUCUUUACCCAAUUUCCAAUUUCGAAUCUAACUAAUUAAUCUUUCAUUAAUUUCAUAAUAUUCUUUGAAUUUUAAUUUCAUAAAUUCUUUGAAUUCUAAUUUCUUAAUUCACUGAUAGUUUUAAUUUUUCAUUUUUUAGCUUCAUAAUUUCAUUAUUAUCUUCUCCAUCUCAAUCCAUUAAAUUCUGAUUUUCUAAUAACAAAAA